CUGAUCUCCCCCAAGAGUCCACAUCGACGGGGAGGUUUGGCACCUCGAUGUCGGCUCGUCGCAACCUGGGGCGGUAGUACGUCCCAAGGGUUGGGCUGUUCGCCCAUUAAAGCGGUACGCGAGCUGGGUUCAGAACGUCGUGAGACAGUUCGGUCCAUAUCCGGUAUGAUCGGAAGAGAAUUGAGAGGAGUCGUCUUUAGUACGAGAGGACCGAGACGAACCAACCUCCGGUGUAUGAGUGGUCACGCCAGUGGCCAAUGCUCAGUAGCUGCGUUGGGAGCGGAUAAGCGCUGAAAGCAUAUAAGUGCGAAGCCCACCUCAAGAUGAGUUCUCUCACUGGGUUAACCAGGUAAGAGUCCGCGUAGAUAAUGCGGUAGAUAGGCUACAGAUGUAAGGUUAGAGAUAGCUUUAGUCGAGUAGUACUAAUAACUCGAGGGUUUAACCUA
rnacentral:rRNA from 1 species